GAUGAACGCUGGCGGCGUGCCUAAUACAUGCAAGUCGAGCGAACGGACGAGAAGCUUUCCUCUCUGAUGUUAGCGGCGGACGGGUGAUUAACACGUGGAUACCCUACCUAUGAGACUGAGAUAACUUCGGGAAACCUGAUCUAAUACCGGAUCAUAUGUUGAACCGCAUGGUUCAAAAGUGAAAGACGGUCUUGCUGUCACUUAUAGAUGGAUCCGCGUUGCAUUAGCUAGUUGGUAAGGUAACGGCUUACCAAGGCAACGAUGCAUAGCUGACCUGAGAGGGUGAUCGGCCACACUGGAACUGAGACACGGUCCAGACUCCUACGGGAGGCAGCAGUAGGGAAUAUUCCGCAAUGGGCGAAAGCCUGACGGAGCCACGCCGCGUGUGUGAUGAAGGUCUUCGGAUCGUAAAACUCUGUUAUUAGGGAAGAACAUAUGUAUAAGUAACUGUGCAUAUCUUGACGGUACCUACUCAGAAAGCCACGGCUAACUACGUG
rnacentral:rRNA from 1 species